rnacentral:lncRNA from 1 species
GCUAUCCCCUGAGAGAUAGGAGAGGAGGAGAAACAGCCUGACAGGGGCCUGGAGCAGCUGGCUGGCGUCAGUAAUUUCCUGCAGGAGACUCUGCUGGCCGAGCACACAUCACCCUUCUGUUGCUCCUCUGUAUUCUCCCUUGUGCUACUAAAAUACGCUAAUGUAACUCCUGGGCUGUGCUAAGCUAAAUGCAGUUAUUUAACCUCAUUUCUAUGGAACCCAGGUCUAAAGCAGCAACAUCUAUUUGGAACAAGAUGGGGAGGAGCAAGAGUGAAUUCAUGCUCUUCUUCAUGGAGGUGGAUGUUUCUGGAAGGAGGUUUGUGAUGUCCUUUGCAGGGACAUGGAUGGAGUUGGAAGCCCUUAUCCUCAGCAAACUAAUGCAGGAACAGAAAACCAAACACUGCAUGUUCUUACUUAUAAGUGGGAACUGAAUGAUGAGAACACAUGGACACAUAAGGGGAAAUGACACACACUGGGGCCUGUCAGAGCUGAGGGGUUGUGGGGAGAGGGAGAGAAUCAGGAAUAAUGGCUAAUGUAUGCUGUGCUUAAUAUCUAGGUGAUGGGAUGAUCUGUGCAGCAAACCACCAUGGCACACGUUUACCUAUGUAACAAACCUGGACAUCCUGCACAUGUAUCCUGGAACUUAAAAUAAAAGUUGAAGAAAAAAAAAAAGAAAAAGUUUUGUGAAGUCUGGAGGUGUAAUGGACAGACACAGGCUUAGGGUGAG